rnacentral:misc_RNA from 1 species
AGAUGUGAUCACAUUUAAAAGAAUCACUUUCAAAAUGAUACGUUAGAUGUGAUUCAUUUUUAACUCUUGUAACAAUGAUCCAAAAAUGAAAACUAAGUAAUAAUGCUAAGUUAGGUGUAUUUCACUUGGAAAAUAUUCUACAGCCAAUAACACUUGGUUAUGAUCCACUAAUAUUAUGUAGAAAGGAGCUAAGAAAUACAUUUUCAUGAUUUUAAUAUAUUGGCACAUAAAAUAUAUCCCCUAUGCUUUAGGAUAUCUUUUUCCACUGAUAACUUUAUUAGGCUUAUCUUGUUUACUAUCUCAUCACACAAACAAAAGCACACAUAACAUCAACGAAAUACUAGCAAUAAAACUUAAGCAAUGUACAAAAACUAUUUACCAAUUCAAAGCAUCUGCACAAGAUUUAAACCCAACUUCAACCAAAGCCAUUGUGGAGAGCAUAUGCUACUUUAGAACAACAUUAAAAAUUAUGUUAAACACCACCAGUACUUCUUUGCGCAUUUGCACCAGUGCUUGUACUGAUACUUUGAGCAUUUGCUCUGGUUCUUCUCUGAAUAUUCGCAGGAUAUGCAUCACAACGCCAUAUGACCAGAUCCAAGCUGAUCUGCCCGUAAGAACCAAAGUAACUAUUUGGAACUACAAGGAACUCCUCUGCAUGAACAUCCUCAUCAUUACCCUUCUGAAUAGUCUUUGUAAAAGACUGAAAUCUGAGAUUACUUCCCUCCAUUUUUGCUGUAAGCUCAUAAAAGUAUUCCCUAUUUGAUGCCGAGGGAGCUAUACAACUAAUAGUGAUUACAUUUCCAAGGAUUUCUGCUUUAUUGUUCAGAACAAAUAGAACACCUUCUUUCUCUUCUUGAAGGAUACGAUAUUUGUCAUUAAGAGUAAAGAAUACAGGAAAGGUGUUAUUAUAUUGGAAGUGCGUAGCAGAACCCUUGUGUUUACGGCUAAAAUGCUGGUACAACUGUUUAGAUGAGCCAACAAAAUUGCAACCUGAUAGGGGGCAUGAACAUGGUGCAUGGGUGCAGGUCUUAUUGUGGUCAAAUUUUUUGCUUAAUAUAACCAUUUCUCUACAGCCGUACAUCAGAUUUUGGCACGGUAGUUUAACUGAUUCAAGAACCUUCUCAAUUGCCCGACAACGAUUGUAUCCCAUAGGCAAAGAGCAGGAAGGACAUUUAUUUGCAAGUUUUUUGCAGCAGGAAGAGCAAGCUGUAUGCCCAUUGUCACACUGAAAGACGGGAAUGGUCAACGAAUCGUAGCAGAUGGGGCAAUCAAGCACUUCUGGAUCUGUUAGGGUCACGCAAAUUGCCCCAUUUCUGCUGGGUAGGACUGAGGCAGGACGAUUAGAUGAUCUAGGUCGGAAGAUCGGUGAGGGAAAGAAGCCAUCUUCUUCUCCUUCUUCUUCGUCAUCUUUCUCGUCCUCGUCAUCUUCCUCAUCUCGUUCUUGUUGUUGUUCUUCACUUUGGUCAUUUUCCUCCUCCAAUACCUCAUCCUCAUCCUCUACUAUUUCAACAUUUUCAUCUUCUGUAUCAUGCCAAGACGCUUGUUGAGAAGAAUCACAGUUCUUCUGUCUCUUUUGCCUUCGACUGCUUGGCCCUUCAUCUGCUUCUCCGCCAAUUGAGAAUCUCGCCAUGUCUCUCUAAAUUUUGAUUUCCUACCAACACGACACUGUCCG